rnacentral:tRNA from 1 species
GCCUGGGUGGCUCAGUUGGUUAAGCGUCCGACUUCAACUCAGGUCAUGAUCUCGCGGUCCGUGAGUUCGAGCCUCGCGUCGGGCU